GGCGGACGGGUGAGUAAUGCUUGGGAACUUGCCUUUGCGAGGGGGAUAACAGUUGGAAACGACUGCUAAUACCGCAUAAUGUCUUCGGACCAAACGGGGCUUCGGCUCCGGCGCAAAGAGAGGCCCAAGUGAGAUUAGCUAGUUGGUAAGGUAACGGCUUACCAAGGCGACGAUCUCUAGCUGUUCUGAGAGGAAGAUCAGCCACACUGGGACUGAGACACGGCCCAGACUCCUACGGGAGGCAGCAGUGGGGAAUAUUGCACAAUGGGGGAAACCCUGAUGCAGCCAUGCCGCGUGUGUGAAGAAGGCCUUCGGGUUGUAAAGCACUUUCAGUUGUGAGGAAAAGUUAGUAGUUAAUACCUGCUAGCCGUGACGUUAACAACAGAAGAAGCACCGGCUAACUCCGUGCCAGCAGCCGCGGUAAUACGGAGGGUGCGAGCGUUAAUCGGAAUUACUGGGCGUAAAGCGCACGCAGGCGGUUUGUUAAGCUAGAUGUGAAAGCCCCGGGCUCAACCUGGGAUGGUCAUUUAGAACUGGCAGACUAGAGUCUUGGAGAGGGGAGUGGAAUUCCAGGUGUAGCGGUGAAAUGCGUAGAUAUCUGGAGGAACAUCAGUGGCGAAGGCGACUCCCUGGCCAAAGA
rnacentral:rRNA from 1 species